GACAGAGGUGCCAAGCGUUAGGCGGAAUCACUGGGCUUAAAGCGUGUGUAGGCGGGUGCCUAAGUACCUUGUGAAAUCCCCCGGCUCAACCGGGGAACGGCUGGGUAUACUGGGUGCCUUGGGUCAUCUAGGGGCUGCCGGAACAAAUGGUGGAGCGGUGAAAUGCGUAGAUAUCGUUUGGAACGCCAAUGGUGAAAACAGACAGCUGGGAGUGUGCUGACGCUGAGACACGAAAGCCAGGGGAGCGAACGGG
rnacentral:rRNA from 1 species